AGAGCAACUGGCGCAGGCGCGCUGCUCGGUUGCUGUAGAAAUGGACCUCUACCCGCCCAGAUGUUACCAUUCAUCGCGAAGGGUGUCGUGAAGAUGAAUGCCCUGUCGAACAUCAUCCAGCAGGAGGUCAAGGAAUUUUAACUGAAUGAUUGAAUAGUCUUGCAAGAUCUAUGAAACAAGCUUCGGCUGCUGUAGAGAAACAAAAAUGGGUUCCUGCAAUUCUAAAUAAGAUGUACUGGGUGCUCUGAGAGUUAAUAAGCUAAAAAAUUCAAUGUUUGUUACAAUUAUAGUGUAAACAGAAAGCA